AAAAUACGCGAUAAACCAAAAAAUAAUCUUUAUUUAAAAUUCCAAUAAUACCAAAUCAUUAACUAGCGAUCGUCGAUCUAUGUGUAAUGUCAACAAAAAUAAACUCUUGAUUUGACUUUGAACGAUUAUGUUAUCAUCGAGCCCAGUUAGUUCUCCUUUGUAUCUCGACGAGUUAACAUCGAAGCACGUUCUCUUCUUCCAGGACGUACAACAACUACGUAAAGACACCAAUGGAAUGAUACACCAGACUAAAGAGAAAUCGAUUAUUGCAUGGGAUAAAUAAAAAGGACAAAAGAAUCGUCAUGAAGAAUUAGGAUUGUUUUAGCCACACAUGGAAAUUUCAACUGGAAUAAGAAAUUCAUUUCUAGUUUCUUAUUCUCUUCAUCAUCUUAAGGAAGAAUAUCGUGGACCAACAGCAAAGACUUAAGAUAUGUAUAUUUUCCUAUAUUAUAUAAUAUGUAUAUUUUCACAUAUUUUCAAUAGUUUCUUCAUUAUAUCGAUUAUAUUUUUUUCUUUUUCUUUUCUUUUAUUUUUAUUUUUGUUUUAGAACAUUUCGAUGUCGAUCUAUUUUAUUUUCAAUCAGUUAUCUUUAAAUCAUUCAUCCUCAAUUUUGAUCUAAAUCGUGGACGAGUGUUUUGGAGCUUUUAGAAAAAAAAUUCACUUACUAUUUAAGUCCCUUCGAUCGCUCGAUCAUGUCGUGGAUGAAAGAUACGAAUGAUUGAUUGUUUAUUUAAUUAAUAGAAGAGCAUUCUGUGACCAUCAGUAAGUUUCCACGAAGAUUUAUUCGUGAAUGGUUUCUUGUGUUUUCUUUUUUUUUUUUUUUUUUUAAU